UAUGGCCAUAACACCCCAAUUGCGUCCGAUCUCGUCUGAUCUCGGAAGCUAAGCAGGGUCGGGCCAGGUUAGUACUUGGUUGGACACCAAUGUUACAUGAGGAAAAAGCAAAAG
rnacentral:rRNA from 1 species